AACGCGUGGAUAACCUGCCUCACACAGGGGGAUAACAGUUGGAAACGGCUGCUAAUACCGCAUAAGCGCACAGCACCGCAUGGUGCAGUGUGAAAAACUCCGGUGGUGUGAGAUGGAUCCGCGUCUGAUUAGCUGGUUGGCGGGGUAACGGCCCACCAAGGCGACGAUCAGUAGCCGGCCUGAGAGGGCGACCGGCCACAUUGGGACUGAGACACGGCCCAGACUCCUACGGGAGGCAGCAGUGGGGAAUAUUGCACAAUGGGGGAAACCCUGAUGCAGCGACGCCGCGUGAGCGAUGAAGUAUUUCGGUAUGUAAAGCUCUAUCAGCAGGGAAGAUAAUGACGGUACCUGACUAAGAAGCUCCGGCUAAAUACGUGCCAGCAGCCGCGGUAAUACGUAUGGAGCAAGCGUUAUCCGGAUUUACUGGGUGUAAAGGGAGCGUAGGCGGUCCUGCAAGUCUGAUGUGAAAACCCGGGGCUCAACCCCGGGACUGCAUUGGAAACUGUAGGACUAGAGUGUCGGAGGGGUAAGUGGAAUUCCUAGUGUAGCGGUGAAAUGCGUAGAUAUUAGGAGGAACACCAGUGGCGAAGGCGGCUUACUGGACGACCACUGACGCUGAGGCUC
rnacentral:rRNA from 1 species